GGUAUUCUGAAAUAAUCAGUUAAUUAUUUGAACCACAAUUUUAUUUUAUUUUAUUUUAUUUUGCUAAUGGCUUCUUUGGCUUAGAUAGUGCUUUCCUAUAUGUGGUAUCCUAUAGGUGGGAGUGAAUCAAGAAGCAAGACAGGCCAUGAAGAAGCUAACUCAAAUCCUGGAAUUGAGGGUUAAAUUAUCUUCCACCUCCUCACAUGAACAAGUGUCUGGAAGAAAGAAGAGAGCAAGGAGGUUAAGUCACUUUUGCAGGGUCACCAACUUCAGAGUUAUAUAAACAAAUCCCCAAUUCCACAGGACUCUUCCUUUAAACUUCUUCCUUUUAAUGCCUUUUUAUACCCUUUCUAAACACUCAGAUAUUUUUAGAAACAUAUAGUCAGUUAAUAACAUUGUGUUUCUACUAAAGGAAUGUCUUUCUUUCGUGUGGCAUUUGGUCUACCUUCCUUUCUGCUGUUAUAAUAAACACUCUAAACAAAAGCUGUUAUAAUUUCAGCCACAAUAAGGCUGACACUUCUGGGUUCUAGGGCCAUGCAUGUGCAGCAAGCCCUCAAGCAAAAGUGCCCAAUGGCGCCGGGGAUGUUAAAGGGCCCUGCAUGACCUCCGUACAGUGUGGUUGCAUCAUUCACGUCUGACUCAGCUAAGCCCUUGUGUGCAUGUGUGAGUCCCAUCAUCUGUGUAUGACAUAGUCACAUCAACCCUCUGUGUACAUGUGUUAGGCAGCUUUUAAAUGCUGGAUGCGCCAUAUUCCCCCUCACUCUCUUUCUGCACACCAACUUCCCCAGGCCUGUACAUGCCCCCUCUAAUAAACUCCUAAGCAGGUUUGUUGCAUGUUC